CAAUGGCGUUUAAUUCUAGGAGCUGAUAGGCUGGAAGCUUGAGCGUCCUGGGGACCUUCUUUCCCAUGAGAAGGAAGAUACGGAGGAAAACAGAUGGAGAAACUUGAGAUUCAGAGCGGUUACUUCGUAGACAAGUCAGCAUUUAAAGGUUUUAACAGAUCCUGUUAAUACUAACAGCCAAGGUUCACUGAGCACUUGCCGUAUUCCGGGAACUACGCUAAGGGCUUUAGGAAUCAUUACCUCAGUAAAUUCUCAAAAACAAAGUGAAAUACAAAGCCCAGAUGUGGGUUUCAGAGAGAAGAAAGGAUAGGCUCUACUCUUGGGAGGCCAUGGGCUCAAAGACCGGAGGGUCUCUGACUUGGAUCUGCCCCCCUCAAGGGGUUCCGCAUUCUCUGAUGAAAUUAGAAAUGUUUUCCCACAGAAGACCUCGCCAGGAAGUGUGUUAGGGACUGGCUGGUGGCUACAAAGAAUACAAGAGCCAUCAUCGACCGAGCUUGAGAGAAACAAGACUCUUCAAUCACCCCUUGUGACUUAAGUUUGGGUCAACAAACAUGGAUUGAGUGCCUGCUGUAUACCAAGACACCAUGCCAGACAGUGGAGAUACGGUGUCCAAGAUCUGGUAGAAUCAAUCAAAAUACUCCUUGGAUCAGACACAUUCAUACACUACUGGUGGGAAUAUAAAUUUUUGCAACCUUCCUGGAGUGCAAUGUAACAAUGUCUAUCAAAAGAUUUAAGAGAUGUGCAUGCCCGUUCACCCAGCAAUUAGACUUCUAAUCAUUUAUGAUAAGACGAUAAUCACUUACGUGUUUGAAGAUUUAGCUACAGCUGUGUUCUUUGCAACGUUAUUUGUAAAAGCAAAGGAAAAUAAAACCUUGAAAAACCUAAUUGUCAAUGACAAGGAAUUACAUAAAUUAAUGAUGGCAUAUCCUUCGAAUAAAAUCAUUUAAAAGCAUAUCUGAGAAGAGUAUGUAUUGAAUGGCAAAAAGUCUAUGAUAUAUUGUUAAGUGAAAGAAACCAAAUAGGAUAGUAGAUAGUAUGAUCUCAGUUUUAUGGGGGGGGAAAAUAUAUAUAUAUAGCACCACUCUGAGGAGAUGAGAAUGAGGAUGAGGGUUAUUUUUACAUUCUUUUCUGAGCUUUUUCU